rnacentral:lncRNA from 1 species
CGCCGAAAUACUAUGGUGCCGCCCAGAUGGAGCCAUUAUAGACNNNNNNNNNNNNNNNNNNNNNNNNNUAUGGGAUCAUUAUGGGGUUAUUAUGGGAUUAUUAUGGGGUUAUUAUGGGGUUAUUAUGGGGUUAUUAUGGGAUGGCUAUAGGAUCACUAUGGGGUUAUUAUGGGGUUAUUAUGGGGUUAUUAUGGGGUUAUUAUGGGAUGUCCCCCCCCCCCAGAUCGCUCCCCAGACCUGGACAACUUCUCGGAGGAGGAGGAGGAGAGUUUCUCCUCGGAGCAGGACGGCAGCGACGACGCCAUUCAGGGGCAGGUGGGCCCCCCCCCCAUAGGAUCUCUUUGAUGAAGAGGAGGAGCUGCCCAAGAGGAAGAAGACGCAGCGGAAGCUGCUGGCGGCCGCAGGGAGGGCGCUGUGCAUGGAGCGCGUCUCGCGGAUGCGGGCGGUGGAGGACCUGGACCUGGCCGAGGACCUGGACGAGCUGUGCGCGUCCCUCGGUCUGUCCAACCCCAGCGACAGCGGCGCCGACAUCGACGACACCGACAGUGUCAUCAGCACCCCGAAACCCAGACUCAGGUCACAAUGAGGAGCCCAUAGAGCCCAUAGAGCCCAUAGAGCCCAUAGAGCCCAUAUAUCCCCCAUAGAGCCCAUAGACCCCAUAGAGCCCAUAGACCCCAUAGAGCCCAUAGACCCCAUAGAGCCCAUAGAGCCCAUAGACCCCAAUGGACCCCAUAGAGCCCAUAGACCCCAUAGAGCCCAUAGAGCCCAUAUCCCCCCCAUAGAGCCCAUAGAGCCCAUAGAGCCCAUAGAGCCCCCAUAGAGCCCAUAGAGCCCAUAGACCCCAUAUACCCCAUAGAGCCCAUAUCCCCCCCAUAGAGCCCAUAGACCCCAUAGAGCCCAUAUAUCCCCCAUG